rfam:Metagenome sequence 3634299_fasta.screen.Contig5380, whole genome shotgun sequence.
GUAUCUCCCCUCGGGGGGAGACAGAAUUCGCGCUUGCGGGAAUUCAGAGGGAGGAC